UUUAGUUAUAUGGGUCUAAUCGGGCGGGUUCAUCUCAAACUGUACUAAAUGGGUAUUAAAUGGGCGGUGGCUAUUCACCCAUUUACCCGCCCGCAUACCCAAAACCAAAACCCGAAGUGUUCAUUUGCCAGGCGUCGUAUUCCCAAAACCAAAACGAAAACGAAAACCCUUCUCAUUUCUCUCUCCUUCUUCAUCUCCACCGCCACCACCGCCACCGCUGUCGCCCCUGCCGCCGCCUGAAACUCAACCCUAAUCUCUCUCUCUCUCUCGGAUCUUCUUCUUCAUCUCCGCCGCCACUGUCGCCACCGCCGUCGCCGCUGCCGCGGCCUGAAACUCAUUGAGAGAUCGAUUUUGAUCUAAGAGAGGAAGCUAAGGCCAUUGCCGAGUUCACCAACACUUGAAAUCGCACUAAGGAUGAUGAGGUGUUACAAUCUAAGAAAACUAAUCUUGCUUUGAUUUUCGACAUUUAUGAUGAGCCUUGGGUAGUGUAAGAUGAUUGUUGAGAGGCUUGGUGAUUAUCUCAAUGAAAAGGGAUUUUAUGUUUGUUGUGUUUCCUUUUUCUAUUCGGGUUUGGUGUGGUCCCUCGCAUUGCAAUACUUGAAAUGAAUAAUUGUCAGUUCAACAAUUAUGUGGACUCUCGUGAGGGGUUUGAUGUUUGGUUAAUGUGUUUGUAUGAUCCCUAUCCAUCAAAAUUAUGUCUGUAUUUUUCCUUUGAUUGAGGUUAUUGUGGUAUUUUAAGGCGAGUUGUGAUGCUUAUUCAUAAGACGGGUUUGCACGUUCGAAAAA